AGAGAAGGGAGAUGGACAUAGAGAGAACAGAGAAGGGAGAUGGACAGAGAGAGAACAGAGAAGGGAGAUGAACAGAGAGAGAACAGAGAAGGGAGAUGGACAUAGAGAGAGAACAGAGAAGGGAGAUGGACAUAGAGAGAGAACAGAGAAGGGAGAUGGACAGAGAGAACAGAGAAGGGAGAUGGACAUAGAGAGAGAACAGAGAAGGGAGAUGGACAUAGAGAGAGAACAGAGAAGGGAGAUGGACAUAGAGAGAACAGAGAAGGGAGAUGGACAGAGAGAGAACAGAGAAGGGAGAUGGACAGAGAGAGAACAGAGAAGGGAGAUGGACAGAGAGAGAACAGAGAAGGGAGAUGGACAUAGAGAGAGAACAGAGAAGGGAGAUGGACAUAGAGAGAGAACAGAGAAGGGAGAUGGCCAGAGAGAGAACAGAGAAGGGAGAUGGACAUAGAGAGAGAACAGAGUAGAGAGAUGGACAGAGAGAGAACAGAGAGGGGAGAUGGACAGAGAGAGAGAACAGAGUAGAGAGAUGGACAGAGAGAGAGAACAGAGUAGGGAGAUGGACAGAGAGAGAACAGAGAAGGGAGAUGGACAUAGAGAGAACAGAGAAGGGAGAUGGACAUAGAGAUGUAAUCAGAGCUGAUAGGAGGAACGGUACACAGAUAUAUAGAUAGAGAGUAUCAGGAGGAGAGGAGUGAAGGAGUGACAGAUGUACAGACAGAAACAGGUAGUUAAGACAAGAUCUAAAAGGACAAAGGAAACAAGAGAAACAGUGAAGGAAACAGACUGAAUGAGACUUGGACAGGAUAGAGAGACAGUGAAGAAAACAGACUGAAUGAGACUUGGACAGGAUAGAGAGACAGUGAAGGAAACAGACUGAAUGAGACGUGGACAGGAUAGAGAGACAGUGAAGAAAACAGACUGAAUGAGACGUCGACAGGAUAGAGAGACAGUGAAGGAAACAGACUGAAUGAGACUUGGACAGGAUAGAGAGACAGUGAAGAAAACAGACUGAAUGAGACUUGGAAAGGAUAGAGAGACAGUGAAGAAAACAGACUGAAUGAGACUUGGACAGGAUAGAGAGACAGUGAAGGAAACAGACUGAAUGAGACUUG
rnacentral:lncRNA from 1 species